UGGGGAAUAUUGCACAAUGGGCGAAAGCCUGAUGCAGCAACGCCGCGUGAGUGAUGAAGGUCUUCGGGUUGUAAAGCUCUGUCUUUUGGGACGAUAAUGACGGUACCAAAGGAGGAAGCCACGGCUAACUACGUGCCAGCAGCCGCGGUAAUACGUAGGUGGCGAGCGUUGUCCGGAUUUACUGGGCGUAAAGGGUGCGUAGGCGGAUGUUUAAGUGAGAUGUGAAAUACCCGGGCUUAACUUGGGUGCUGCAUUUCAAACUGGAUAUCUAGAGUGCAGGAGAGGAGAAUGGAAUUCCUAGUGUAGCGGUGAAAUGCGUAGAGAUUAGGAAGAACACCAGUGGCGAAGGCGAUUCUCUGGACUGUAACUGACGCUGAGGCACGAAAGCGUGGGUAGCAAACAGGAUUAGAUACCCUGGUAGUCCACGCCGUAAACGAUGAGUACUAGGUGUAGGAGGUAUCGACCCCUUCUGUGCCGCAGUAAACACAUUAAGUACUCCGCCUGGGAAGUACGAUCGCAAGAUUAAAACUCUAAAGUGAAUUGAC
rnacentral:rRNA from 1 species